ACUCACUACUCCCUCUCAUUUUUUAGCUAAUGAUGAGUUGACAUUUUUUUUAUUGGCGUUCAUACAAUGAUUGUACGUGUAUCGCCUCAUCGUAGGAGAGAGGGAAAGGUAGGAGGCUUAGAUUUCCGAAGAUCAAUUUGGAGGGAGACUUGGCUGCCACCAACGCUGACGACGAUGACGCGAUAUCUAAACCAGAUGAGAUAGGAUGCGGUGAGUGACAGAUUCGAGGUUUGGUCAUCGGUUCGUCUCUUCCUCUUUCCUCUUCAUUAAUCUCAUCUACUACUACUUUGUCGGACCUUCAAUUUCAUCAACUUUAUGGGACUUUUUGGUAUUUUUUUUUUAGGUUUUAAGGGAGGGGAUGGUCUCGAAGAAGGGAUUUGCAAAAACAUCCUUCGACUUCCUGCUGUGCCGGUAUAACUGUCGAAAUUUUUUCAUCAUCUUGCUGGUUCAGGGUUUGGGUACUUGCGGUCUGCUAUUGGAAUUUUGAAGUUUAAAAGCUCGAUUUCUGGUUGCUAUUGGGUUUCCCGACUGGAGAUUAUUGCUGAUGAAAGAGACAGGGGUUUUAUUCUGCUGGAGCAUGGCUCUGAAGCUAUGACUGAUGCUCUUUGCAAGAGGUGCAACUAGAUAUCAUACAAGCUGGUCAUGGUGAUCACUAUCAGGCUGAAGAGUGUAAUUGAUCAUUUUAGAGGGAACAAAGAAUUUGCUCGCCUUAGAAUUGGAAUUGGGUGGCCUCCUGGUCAAAUGGACCCCAAAGCAUUUCUGCUCCAAAAGUUCAAUUCAUUGGCAAGAGAGCGGAUGGGAAGAGCAAAGGUCUCUUAACCACAAAACAGAAUGAACAAGAGUGGGUGGAGUACCCAGAUGUGAUGGUAGAUUUAGUCAAGAAGAGUUGACUUGACAAGAGCAUCUUCUAUGAUCUUUAGAGGCAAUCAUGAUAAUUUGGAUGUGGCUUUCAUUGGUGGCAGCUUUGAAUUUUUUCUUUCAAACUACAGUCUAAAUGCCGAGGCAGGAAGAACUGGACAUAUAAAUAGUGUCACACUUCAGGAUGCUUUUCCAAGGCCAGUUGCAAGACUGCUUGUAACUGUAGCUGCUGCUGUUUCUCUUUUUGUGCUCGGUCUUUUGUGUCUACAGUUUUCUUCACAUUGGUGGGGAAUUGGAAGGAUGAGUUGGCUUCUGUUAGCUGACAUUUUGAAGCAAAAUAAAGUAAAUCAUCCAAACAUGAGAUUUGAUCCCAGGGCAAGGACAGCUAAUUCCGAUAGGUUUAUAGCUGAUUAUGAGAAUGAUCAUAUUUCCUACUGUUGGUCUGCUUUGUUAAAUUUCAGAGCAAAAGAGGAGGAGAUCAAGGAAGGCUCUUUUACGAUUUCAAGCUCAAUGAAUGCUGAAAACUCAAAGAGUUCAGGCUCUUUACCCUCCUAUGGAGUGUGCUGCAGAAUCAACCUCAGAAUGUGCAUCCUAUCAAAUGGCAUUAGCAAAGAGUUAAAUUUGCUAAUAGACUAUUGUUCAUACAUUUUAAAACAUUUUAUCAUAAAGCUUUAAAAUAAACACUUAGCACAGACAACUUGAUUAACAAGUCUAAGACCUAUUGUGAAAAUUUUAAUGUUUCAUAAAGAGUGCCUUUUAUGAGAAUGCUUUAACUGCUUAUUCUAGAUGGUGUCUCACUGGCACUCCUAUCCACGUGACGUCUCUUUUUAGUAUUGUAAUUUACAUAUUAUAUAUUGCUUUUUUGUUUUACCAUUCUAUUUAAUAUCCAUUGUUUUAGUAGUCUCGUCUGUGUGGUGCACCACCCUUUCUUAUAUUAUAUUUACCACAUUUUUGUUUGGUUGAAAAAUCUAGAAUAUUUAUUUUUGCCGGUAAAAGUAUGGUGGUGGAUAGACAGAGAAAGAGUUAGAAAUAUUGUCAAGUGGAUACAAAAAAGGGGAUGAUGUGAUGAAGAGAGGAAAGAGAAAGUAGCUUUUCUCAAGAAAGUCUACUCCUUUUCAAAACUCCCACAACCUAUUCAUGCA